UACCAGCACCCCGAGUGGUCGGGACGUUUAUUGGGCCUAAAGCAUCCGUAGCCGGUUCUACAAGUCUUCCGUUAAAUCCAACUGCUUAACAGGUGGGCUGCGGAAGAUACUAUAGAGCUAGGAGGCGGGAGAGGCAAGCGGUACUCGAUGGGUAGGGGUAAAAUCCGUUGAUCCCUUGAAGACCACCAGUGGCGAAGGCGGCUUGCCAGAACGCGCUCGACGGUGAGGGAUGAAAGCUGGGGGAGCAAACCGG
rnacentral:rRNA from 1 species